rnacentral:rRNA from 1 species
UACAGAGGGUGCAAGCGUUAAUCGGAAUUACUGGGCGUAAAGCGUGCGUAGACGGUUAUGUAAGUCAGAUGUGAAAGCCCCGGGCUCAACCAGGGAAUUGCAUUUGAGACUGUGUAGCUAGGGUGCGGAAGAGGGAAGCGGAAUUUCCGGUGUAGCGGUGAAAUGCGUAGAUAUCGGAAGGAACACCAGUGGCGAAAGCGGCUUCCUGGUCCAGCACCGACGUUCAGGCACGAAAGCGUGGGGAGCAAACAGG